rnacentral:rRNA from 1 species
CCAGACUCCUACGGGAGGCAGCAGUGAGGAAUAUUGGUCAAUGGUCGGGAGACUGAACCAGCCAAGCCGCGUGAGGGAGGAAGGUACAGAGUAUCGUAAACCUCUUUUGUCAGGGAACAAAGGCGGGGACGUGUCCCCGGAUGAGUGUACCUGAAGAAAAAGCAUCGGCUAACUCCGUGCCAGCAGCCGCGGUAAUACGGAGGAUGCGAGCGUUAUCCGGAUUUAUUGGGUUUAAAGGGUGUGUAGGCGGGACGGUAAGUCAGCGGUAAAAAUGCGGAGCUCAACUCCGGCGAGCCGUUGAAACUGCCGUUCUUGAGUGAGCGAGAAGUAUGCGGAAUGCGUGGUGUAGCGGUGAAAUGCAUAGAUAUCACGCAGAACCCCGAUUGCGAAGGCAGCAUGCCGGCUUCCGACUGACGCUGAAGCACGAAAGCGUGGGGAUCGAACAGGAUUAGAUACCCCUGUAAC